UACGUAGGGUGCAAGCGUUGUCCGGAAUUAUUGGGCGUAAAGAGCUCGUAGGCGGUUUGUCGCGUCGGCUGUGAAAACCCGAGGCUCAACCUCGGGCCUGCAGUCGAUACGGGCAAACUAGAGUGUGGUAGGGGAGACUGGAAUUCCUGGUGUAGCGGUGAAAUGCGUAGAGAUGGGGGAGAACACUCGUGGCGAAGGCGGCCAGCUAGACCAGUUCUGACACUGAGGCGCGACAGCGUGGGGAGCAAACAGG
rnacentral:rRNA from 1 species